rnacentral:rRNA from 1 species
GAUGAACGCUGGCGGCGUGCCUAAUACAUGCAAGUCGAGCGAACAGAUGAGGAGCUUGCUCCUCUGACGUUAGCGGCGGACGGGUGAGUAACACGUGGAUAACCUACCUAUAAGACUGGGAUAACUUCGGGAAACCGGAGCUAAUACCGGAUAAUAUAUUGAACCGCAUGGUUCAAUAGUGAGAGACGGUUUUGCUGUCACUUAUAGAUGGAUCCGCGCCGCAUUAGCUAGUUGGUAAGGUAACGGCUUACCAAGGCAACGAUGCGUAGCCGACCUGAGAGGGUGAUCGGCCAAACUGGAACUGAGACACGGUACAGACUCCUACGGGAGGCAGCAGUAGGGAAUCUUCCGCAAAGGGCGAAAGCCUGACGGAGCAACGCCGCGUGAGUGAUGAAGGUCUUCGGAUCGUAAAACUCUGUUAUUAGGGAAGAACAAAUGUGUAAGUAACUAUGCACGUCUUGACGGUACCUAAUCAGAAAGCCACGGCUAACUACGUG